rnacentral:rRNA from 1 species
GACGAACGCUGGCGGCGUGCUUAACACAUGCAAGUCGAACGGAAAGGCCCUGCUUUUGUGGGGUGCUCGAGUGGCGAACGGGUGAGUAACACGUGAGUAACCUGCCCUUGACUUUGGGAUAACUUCAGGAAACUGGGGCUAAUACCGGAUAGGAGCUCCUGCUGCAUGGUGGGGGUCGGAAAGUUUCGGCGGUUGGGGAUGGACUCGCGGCUUAUCAGCUUGUUGGUGGGGUAGUGGCUUACCAAGGCUUUGACGGGUAGCCGGCCUGAGAGGGUGACCGGCCACAUUGGGACUGAGAUACGGCCCAGACUCCUACGGGAGGCAGCAGUGGGGAAUAUUGCACAAUGGGCGGAAGCCUGAUGCAGCAACGCCGCGUGCGGGAUGACGGCCUUCGGGCUGUAAACCGCUUUCGCCUGUGACGAAGCGUGAGUGACGGUAAUGGGUAAAGAAGCACCGGCUAACUACGUG